UUCGCAAUGCCCGAAAGGGUGACGAAGCGACGCCGCGUGUGGGAAGAAGGCCUUCGGGUUGUAAACCACUGUCGGGAGUUAAGAAAUGUAAGGGUGUUAAUAGCGCCUUUACUUGACAAGGGCUCCGGAGGAAGCCACGGCUAACUCUGUGCCAGCAGCCGCGGUAAUACAGAGGCGGCAAGCGUUGUUCGGAAUUAUUGGGCGUAAAGAGCACGUAGGCGGCUUUGCAAGUCAGUUGUGAAAGCCUUCCGCUUAACGGAAGAACAGCAGCUGAUACUACAGAGCUUGAGUACGGGAGGGGAGAGUGGAACUUCUGGUGGAGCGGUGAAAUGCGUAGAUAUCAGAAGGAACGCCGGCGGCGAAAGCGAUUCUCUGGUCCGAAACUGACGCUGAGUGUGCGAAAGCUAGGGGAUCAAACGGGAUUAGAUACCCCGGUAGUCCUAGCCGUAAACGAUGGGCACUAAGUAGAGGGGUUUU
rnacentral:rRNA from 1 species